rnacentral:rRNA from 1 species
UGAGGAAUAUUGCCCAAUGGAGGAAACUCUGAGGCAGCGACGCCGCGUGGGUAAAGAAGGUCUUCGGAUCGUAAAGCCCUUUUCUGCGUGACGAGGAAGGACGGUAGCGCAGGAAAAAGUCUCGGCUAACUACGUGCCAGCAGCCGCGGUAAAACGUAGGAGGCAAGCGUUAUCCGGAGUUACUGGGCGUAAAGCGCGCGCAGGCGGAUGGAUAAGUGGGUUGUGAAAGCGCUCGGCUAAACCGGGCGAGGACAAAUCAGACUGUUCAGCAAGAGGCGGAUAGAGGAGCGUGGAAUUCCGGGUGUAGCGGUGAAAUGUGUAGAGAUCCGGAGGAACACCAGUGGUGCAAACGACGCUCUGGGUCCGAACUGACGCUGAGGCGCGAAAGCGUGGGGAGCGAACG